GUGCCAGCCGCCGCGGUAAUACGGGGGGAGCAAGCGUUGUUCGGAUUUACUGGGCGUAAAGGGCGCGUAGGCGGCCAGCGCAAGUCAGUUGUGAAAUCUCCGGGCUUAACUCGGAACGGUCAACUGAUACUGCGCGGCUAGAGUGCAGAAGGGGCAACUGGAAUUCUCGGUGUAGCGGUGAAAUGCGUAGAUAUCGAGAGGAACACCUGCGGCGAAGGCGGGUUGCUGGGCUGACACUGACGCUGAUGCGCGAAAGCCAGGGGAGCGAACGGGAUUAGAAACCCCUGUAGUCC
rnacentral:rRNA from 1 species